ACGUUAGCGGCGGACGGGUGAGUAACACGUGGGUAACCUACCUAUAAGACUGGGACAACUUCGGGAAACCGGAGCUAAUACCGGAUAAGAUAUCGAACCGCAUGGUUCGAUAGUGAAAGAUGGUUUUGCUAUCACUUAUAGAUGGACCCGCGCCGUAUUAGCUAGUUGGUGAGGUAACGGCUCACCAAGGUAACGAUACGUAGCCGACCUGAGAGGGUGAUCGGCCACACUGGAACUGAGACACGGUCCAGACUCCUACGGGAGGCAGCAGGU
rnacentral:rRNA from 1 species